UACGUAGGGCGCAAGCGUUAUCCGGAAUUAUUGGGCGUAAAGAGCUCGUAGGCGGUUUGUCGCGUCUGCCGUGAAAGUCCGGGGCUCAACUCCGGAUCUGCGGUGGGUACGGGCAGACUAGAGUGAUGUAGGGGAGACUGGAAUUCCUGGUGUAGCGGUGAAAUGCGCAGAUAUCAGGAGGAACACCGGUGGCGAAGGCGGGUCUCUGGGCCGAUACUGACGCUGAGGAGCGAAAGCGUGGUGAGCGAACAGG
rnacentral:rRNA from 1 species